rnacentral:rRNA from 1 species
GAUGAACGCUGGCGGCGUGCUUAACACAUGCAAGUCGAACGAAGCAUUUGCGACAGAUUUUUUCGGAAUGAAGUUGCUUAUGACUGAGUGGCGGACGGGUGAGUAACGCGUGGGUAACCUGCCUUGUACUGGGGGAUAGCAGCUGGAAACGGCUGGUAAUACCGCAUAAGCGCACAAUGUUGCAUGACAUGGUGUGAAAAACUCCGGUGGUAUAAGAUGGACCCGCGUCUGAUUAGCUAGUUGGUGAGAUAACAGCCCACCAAGGCGACGAUCAGUAGCCGAACUGAGAGGGUGACCGGCCACAUUGGGACUGAGACACGGCCCAGACUCCUACGGGAGGCAGCAGUGGGGAAUAUUGCACAAUGGAGGAAACUCUGAUGCAGCGACGCCGCGUGAGUGAAGAAGUAAUUCGUUAUGUAAAGCUCUAUCAGCAGGGAAGAUAGUGACGGUACCUGACUAAGAAGCGCCGGCUAAAUACGUG